rnacentral:misc_RNA from 1 species
GUGAAUCAUCAAAUUUUUGAACGCAAAUUGCACUCUCUGGUAUUCCGGGGAGUAUGCCUGUUUGAGGGUCAGUUUAAAUUAAAAAUCGAGGUGUUGCUUUUUUUAGUUACGCAUCGGAAUUGGUUUAUCUUUGUCCUUUGGAUUUUUUAAGAGACCUAAAAUUUAUACUUUGUGCAUCUCAGACGUACAUAAAGAAUAUUUUUUUUUUUUAUUCUUCCGUAGUUUCCAAAUUUUUAUUAGGUAUGAACAUUUUAUUUUGUGUUAUCUUACCUUUAUAUAAC